rnacentral:rRNA from 1 species
GACGAACGCUGGCGGCGUGCUUAACACAUGCAAGUCGAACGGAAAGGCCCUGCUUUUGUGGGGUGCUCGAGUGGCGAACGGGUGAGUAACACGUGAGUAACCUGCCCUUGACUUUGGGAUAACUUCAGGAAACUGGGGCUAAUACCGGAUAGGAGCUCCUGCUGCAUGGUGGGGGUUGGAAAGUUUCGGCGGUUGGGGAUGGACUCGCGGCUUAUCAGCUUGUUGGUGGGGUAGUGGCUUACCAAGGCUUUGACGGGUAGCCGGCCUGAGAGGGUGACCGGCCACCUUGGGACUGGGGUACGGCCCAGAAUCCUACGGGGGGCAGGAGUGGGGAAUUUUGCACAAUGGGCGGAAGCCUGAUGCAGCAACGCCGCGUGCGGGAUGGCGGCCUUCGGGUUGUAAACCGCUUUCGCCUGUGACGAAGCGUGAGUGACGGUAAUGGGUAAAGAAGCACCGGCUAACUACGUG